rnacentral:rRNA from 1 species
UACGUAGGGCGCAAGCGUUAUCCGGAAUUAUUGGGCGUAAAGAGCUCGUAGGCGGUUUGUCGCGUCUGCCGUGAAAGUCCGGGGCUUAACCCCGGAUCUGCGGUGGGUACGGGCAGACUAGAGUGCAGUAGGGGAGACUGGAAUUCCUGGUGUAGCGGUGAAAUGCGCAGAUAUCAGGAGGAACACCGAUGGCGAAGGCAGGUCUCUGGGCUGUAACUGACGCUGAGGUGCGAAAGCGUGGGGAGCAAACAGG